rnacentral:rRNA from 1 species
AUGGGCGAAAGCCUGACGCAGCCAUGCCGCGUGAAUGAUGAAGGUCUUAGGAUUGUAAAAUUCUUUCAGUAGGGACGAUAAUGACGGUACCUACAGAAGAAGCCCCGGCUAACUUCGUGCCAGCAGCCGCGGUAAUACGAAGGGGGCUAGCGUUGCUCGGAAUUACUGGGCGUAAAGGGAGCGUAGGCGGACAUUUAAGUCAGGGGUGAAAUCCCGGGGCUCAACCUCGGAAUUGCCUUUGAUACUGGGUGUCUUGAGUGUGAGAGAGGUAUGUGGAACUCCGAGUGUAGAGGUGAAAUUCGUAGAUAUUCGGAAGAACACCAGUGGCGAAGGCGACAUACUGGCUCAUUACUGACGCUGAGGCUCGAAAGCGUGGGGAGCAAACAGGAUUAGAUACCCUGGUAGUCCACGCCGUAAACGAUGAUUGCUAGUUGUCGGGAUGCAUGCAUUUCGGUGACGCAGCUAACGCAUUAAGCAAUCCGCC